AUGCAUCGUCCUCGGCGUCGAGGGUACAUGGUGACGUGUACACUCGGUCUGCAUCCAUCGCCGCCCCUUCUCCUUUCCCCUCGCCAGCCACUUCUCCCCGCAGCCAAACUAGGCUGCCGUAGCACGAUCUCGGGACCGAAUCGGACCAGACACGGGCCGCGUCCUCGAGCAGGAGGUCGACGUGAGGGACGAGCCGCCCCGUCGCACUGCCGGCCUGCCGCGGUGGUGCCGCCCCCAUCCCGGAUGCCGACAAUGCCGGGUCCUGGAGUAUCCUGCGAUGGGGGCGAGGAUGGUGGAUCUCGGCGGGGUCAGUGA
rnacentral:rRNA from 1 species